rnacentral:lncRNA from 1 species
CUUACUUCCUUCCUCCUCCAUUGAAGUUUUCUUAUGGAGAAUUCAACUUUUUAAGAAAAUACAAUCAUUACAUUUAUUUUUUCUUAACUUGUCAGCUUGAUCCUUAUCAUUAUUACAUUUGAUUUUUAGUACUUUAAUAUGGGUCAGAGGGGAUAGUGCUUUUUGUGACAAAUGACAAUUAGGGCACGUUCAAUAACACAUUUUAAAGGUAAAAUUAAACUAUUAGUCAUUUGUGACUCACUUUAAUUAUAGUCUAGUACAAAAAUUAAAUUCUGAACUAAUAAUUUAUUAGGGCUGUUAAUUUCCAAAACAUAGAGAAUCAGGAAUCCUAUAAGCAGCUGAUAUUACUAAUUCAAUCACAUGUGACUAUUAAUCUAAAGGAAUUGAGAUUUGAUUACUAAUUCCAUUAAACUAAAACAUGUUAUCAAACAUAACCUUACGUUCUACUUCCUCCGUCCCAUAUUGUUAGUCCUAUUUAAGCUAGAAUUUUAACUUUUUAAGGGAAAAUGUGCAAUUAUUACUUUGGAAUUCAAAUUUAGAGGUAUUAGUUUCAAGAUUACCCUUCUUAUAUCUCACUUUCAAAUAUAUUUCGAACUCUUCACUAAGAGUACGUUCGAAAAGUUACAAACUUUAUGUUUUGACUUUUAAACUGAAAAAUCAUUUUGGGACUUUGCAAAAUAAAAAGAAUUACAAACAAUAUGGGAGGGAGAGAGUAUUAAUUUUCAUUUACGAUAACUAGGCUCUAUUUUUAAAAUUAUGGAUCAAUAAGUUCGAAGAUAUUUGUUUUCAUCUAUGCCCUUUUCUUUUGACUAAUAUAUUUAUUUUCGUUUAGGUUCAUUUUAGUUUAGAUUUUUAGUUUUUUAAUUUAAAAUUCUUUUCAAUUUUCUAACAAUUUUUUUCCAACAAAUCUAAAUUUUUUAAUUUAUUUUAAUAUUAAUAUUUUUAAUACAUACGGUUACUAUACUUAUUAUUAAUAAUUUAUAUUAAAAAUACAUAUCCCAUAAAGGUGAGCCGGCAGCGCCCCAUAACCUCCUUCAGCAUUAGACUAAUAGGGAACCUAAUGGCAGCCUGAUAGAUAAGCCAUGUGCGACUAAGAUGCGGUCCUCGACUCCUUUUACUAUAGUGGCCACUCGUUGGGGCCUGGUCUCUCUAUCAGUACGUUAGUCGGAAUGUCAUGGUCGUUCCUAAACUUCAUCAUUGCGACGUCAUCAUGAACUAGUUGCUGAGCUUAGUUCAACUUUAUAUUCUAAAAUAAAAAUAAAAUAGUGAGAACGAGCUCAACUUAGGUAAUGAUGGACUUCUGGGUGCAGAGUUAGCCAAACUCCCCGCGAGCUCUGCCCCAUGAGGCUUAACAUUUGGGUACAGAGUUAGCCGGAGCUGUCCCCCGAGCUCCGAGUUCGUCCACGAGGUUUUUCAUUUACUCAGGGCUUAGCUCUCAAGUCCUCCUCCUAUCUUGAACCUAUCUCGGCAACAAAAGGGCUUGGGGGCGCAAAACUCUAACCCUAGAAGACAAAUUUUCAAGGCAAAUAUUCAACUCAACCGAACCAUCAGAGGCCCAGAUUCAGCAAUUACAGGCACGAUUCAGACUCAUUUCACCAAGAAGAAUGAAUCCAGGGGCCAACCCAAGGCCCCUAUAAAUAGCAAAAAGCUUAAAGACUGUCUUUCAAUGGUGGACAAAUAAUCAGGCAAAUUCAAACAGACUUAACAAAUUUCAACAACCAAUGUGGACCCAUUUCAUCGGGGGAAUUGGAUCUGAGGACAACCUAAAGCCCCUAGACCUAAAAAAGCUUGAAGACCGCCCAUUAAUUGCGGAUGAGCGACCACAGAUAAAUUCAACAAACAUAGAUUCUAACAAAAUCAACAAAUUAUAGAAAAUGACAAAAACCCAGAUGGGUCAAACAAAAUCAUAAACAUAUAUGCAUUUAUAACAUCAAUGGAAGCACAAAGACAUGAAAUAUUCUUAGAGAGUUCGAUGAAAAACUUACAAAUACGGUCAGAAGAUGGGAUAGUAGUCAGGAAGCAAAAAUGGUGUCGGAAUCGAGGUAAGAAUCGAGAUAGGAGGCAAUGGCAAUCAGACGACAGCGGGUCUUAGACGCAACUUCUCUUUCUAAAAUGCUUUCAAACACAAGAUGAACAGUAACCAUGAGAAGUCUAACUAUUUAUAGGAAGCCAAAAGUCGUAACUUUCUUCCAAAUAUGCACUUAGUAUGCUUCGUCUUUCACCAAAACUCAAUCUGGACCAUUCAGAUGAUACUCCAUGCAUGUAAAUAGACUGCAAGUGUUAGGUUGUGGUGAUUGGCGAGAUUCAUGACACGUCUAUUUAUAUAAGUUUGGAAAGUUGAGUAAUCAAGCAUAAAAACAAGUGGUAGAAGAGUUUUUCAUGCAUUCCGAAAAGAUUUUCAAGCAUAUUCAUGCAAGUUUCGUGCUAAGAGAGACUUGUAUGAUACAUUGUGUUUUCACCUGCAACUUUCAAUCUUGAUUUUGGCUAUCUUACAGAUCGA